UACGUAGGGUGCAAGCGUUGUCCGGAAUUAUUGGGCGUAAAGAGCGUGUAGGCGGCUAGAUAGGUCCGUUGUGAAAACUCGAGGCUCAACCUCGAGACGUCGAUGGAAACCAUCUGGCUAGAGUCCGGAAGAGGAGAGUGGAAUUCCUGGUGUAGCGGUGAAAUGCGCAGAUAUCAGGAAGAACACCAGUGGCGAAGGCGGCUCACUGGCCCGAUACUGACGCUGAGGCACGAAAGCGUGGGGAGCAAACAGG
rnacentral:rRNA from 1 species